rnacentral:lncRNA from 1 species
UAAGAGUGAUGAGAUAGCAGUAACGGGUUACUAGUAAUAGGUAGCGAGAUGGAGUGAAUACGUAGGUGCAGAAAAAAGGUAAUAGACGAAAGAUCGAGGCCAGUGGAUAAGCAAAGUGGAAGAGACAUGGAUGGUUGAAAAGUUUUGGAGUGUAGGUGGGAAACGUACAGGGAGAAUUUAGAAGGGAGGUUUUGUUGAAGAAGGUGGUUGAAAAAGAACAUACCCACAAAUCAUAUAGAUUCAGGAUUNN